rnacentral:rRNA from 1 species
UACGUAGGGGGCAAGCGUUGUCCGGAAUCAUUGGGCGUAAAGAGCGUGUAGGCGGUUCGGUAAGUCGGCUGUGAAAGUCCAGGGCUCAACCCUGGGAUGCCGGUCGAUACUGCCGGACUAGAGUUCGGAAGAGGCGAGUGGAAUUCCCGGUGUAGCGGUGAAAUGCGUAGAGAUGGGGGAGAACACUCGUGGCGAAGGCGGCCAGCUAGACCAGUUCUGACACUGAGGCGCGACAGCGUGGGGAGCAAACAGG